rnacentral:lncRNA from 12 species
UUUUUUACUAUAUUCAAAAAUAGUAAAGUAAUGGUGAUUUUAUCUUUUUACUUCCAUUACAGGGGACCACAGGUGGCAUCUACUGUGGCCCAGACAUGCAUAUUACUGGAAGAUGUCUGCUAUUUUUAUAACUGUGGCUUAGGGCUUUCACAUACUGCUAAUGAGAUGAAGCACUAUGCUCUUAGUUUCUGUAGUGAUUUUCAAAGCCAGUCGUGCAGGAAGACAUCAGUCAACAGUCAUUGCAGUGAUACAUCUCAUGAAUUUCUUGCUGGUAACCAAUUUGGAGCUCACGACUUCACUGCAACUUACAUGGAUCACAGAAGUGCUAUGAUUCUUCAAUUUUUCGCCAAAUUUUGA